rnacentral:rRNA from 1 species
UACGUAGGCAGCGAGCGUUGUUCGGAGUUACUGGGCGUAAAGGGUGUGUAGGCGGUUGUUUUAAGUUUGGUGUGAAAUCUCCCGGCUCAACUGGGAGGGUGCGCCGAAUACUGAGCGACUAGAGUGCGGGAGAGGAAAGUGGAAUUCCUGGUGUAGCGGUGAAAUGCGCAGAUAUCAGGAGGAACACCAGCGGCGAAGGCGGCGCUCUGGGCCGGAACUGACGCUGAGGAGCGAAAGCGUGGGUAGCAAACAGG